UACCGUGUGCCAGACCCUUCACUGGGC
rnacentral:piRNA from 1 species